UCCGGCGUCACUGAGGACCCGCCGGCCCCGAGCAGCCCGGCAGCCCUUCCGAGUACCUCUGUCCAGCACUGCAGACGAACCGUGGCCGCAGCCCUUGCGAACUGUUCCCGAGACAGUGCGGGCUGCGCGGGGUCAGUGUCGCGUGGAGUGGCAGGAUGCUUCACAGCUUUUUAUUUUGUGUCGUCCUGUGUUUGUACGGUGUGUUGUCGUUUGAUUUUUUAAGUAUAAAAGCUGCUUAGAAUAGUUCUAUCAUGAAGGGCACUUUUCAGAUUGUGGGCUGGAAAGGGUUAUUUUAUCAAGGGGGGAGGGCGGGAGGGAGACGAGAAAGCCUAUUUAAAACGAGCCUGUGACGAUUAUGCACAUUACCAGAGGCGGACCCGUAAUCAGGGGGAGCUGGCGCCCACCCCCGGGCGCGGUCCUGGCGGCCGGCCGGACCAGGAGCCGAGCGGAAGGAGCGGGCUGCGAUCUGUCCUCCGUUCCCACGGAGCCGCCUAUGCACAUUUCCCUUGUUUCAUUACUUUUUCAUGUCAUUUUUUUUAAUCCCAAAAAAUAUUUUUUAAAAGUUAAAAAAAAAGAGACAUAUCAAACAUGCAAAUACUUGAAUCCAGCAGGCCAAUAAUGAAAUGUGAACACUUUCUAAGUCUAAUUCUACACUUCCAGGUUGACAUCAGUACGCAGAAACAGGCUCUAGGAAAAAUUUCUAAGUUCACAGCCUAUGUGUGUGUGUGUGUGUGUGUGCGCGCGCGCGUGUGUGUGUUGAAACAGAAUGUGUGUGUGCAUGUGCGUGUACGUGCGCACUUUCUGUGUUCAUGUGUUACGUGCGUGAAGGAUUUAACUGUGGGUUUUCCCUUUUUUCAGUAUGUGCGCUUUUUUUUUUUUGGCGCAUUGGUCAAACGUUUGUUAUUAUUAAUUAGCUUCUAACUUUGCACUGAGUGUCCCUGCCCUUCCUUUAGCUAAUCCUAUACAUUAAAGAAAAUCCAUAGGACAGGGCCGGUGACAAUUCAUGUGUAAAUGUUUACUCAAGGACUCUGUUAUUGCGUUUAAAAAUUACAGUGUAUAUCUCUGGAGAAAUAAUAUGUAUACCUACCUUUAGCAGCUUUUUAUUGUGGACUCAUGCAAGAAAAUUAUUACCAGAGUAUUGCACCAUUUUUCCAUUUGGAAUAUAAAGUUAAAGAGAAAAACUCUUGCUGAACUGUGGCCAUAGAUACUUGCUUGUAGAGGAUGGAUGGUUCCGCGGGAGGAGCGGAGACAAGCACUUGGACGUGGGUUGUGACUGCUUCGGAGGGGCCCGGGGUUAGGGCUCCCACCUGUUUACAGACCUUUUUUUUCUCCUUCAGACUUUAAAAAAAUUUUAAAAAGGAAUUAAAAAAAAAAAAAGACUUCCGUCGUAAAGAAAACUAUUUUCAGAAUGCAGACCCGCUACUUCAGAGCUCUGGGAUUGAACAGUGUUGUUUCCCCUCGGCCAUCGUCAUGGACUCUGUCGACUGUCCCUUCUUCGAGGUGACGAGUUGUGGUCACUGUCUUGCACACGCGGGUGCGCUCUCAGGAAAGCCAGGGUUCCCGAGGGGCGGCUCCACACCAUUUCAUGUAUUUUGUAACCCAACUCCUAGCACUGAAGAUGUUAUUAAAAAACAAACAAAAAUAGAAAGAAAAAAAAGAAAAUAGAAAAAAAAAACACAAAGAAGAAAGAUACCUAAUCUCUAACGUGUAGCAGUUACGUAUGUACCAAAUAAUGGACUCAAAGGAGAUAGAUGUUCGAAGAGUGCUUUAUAUAUUAAAAAUCGCUUUAUGUUUUAAAAAUGAUCAAUGUUUUGAUUGUUUUGCAAGAAAGAAAGACAAUGGAGUAACAUACACUCAAGUAUGUUUAAAAAAAAUAUAUGAACAUUGUGCUCCCUGCCUGCCUGAUCAGGAAACUUGUGCAUUACAUUUUUUUUAAUUAGCUUUUUAAUGGUUUUAUCAAAACAAAACAAAACAAAAAAACAUAAAAAACGAAAAAAAACAAAAAGAAAAAGAAAGUUCCUGCAAAAUUGCAGAUCAACAAAAGCUGGUUUUAUAGAGGAUCAUGAACUAUGCACAAACUGGUUCAAGACUUUUUUCUCAAGUUCAGUAGUGUAUUUCGCUAAGAAGACCUUCCUCAGAGUAACUGCAUCUCAUUGCCAUUACACACGCCCUGUGUGCUGGAUGCACACGCCCCCGUGCACCCACAUCAGACACAUGCGCGUGGCCCAGACGUACAGCUUCCCUGCUGCGUUAGCAUCGAGUCGUAGAGACCUCCUGACAUUUUUUAAUUGGGGAUGGAAGUAAAGAGUCUGUUUGUUUUUGUUUUUUGUUGGGGUUUUUUUUUUUGACCUUUUAUUUUGAAUUAAAGAUGUCUGUAACUCUGAGAUUAAAAAAAAAAAAACAAGUUUGUGGCUUUUAAUGUUUCUCCUCAUAGAAUGUGAUUGUCGAAGAACACGCACCGAAAGUUGCUUUCAAAAGUACAACGCUUUGUUGAAUCUCAAUAAACUGCAAUUUUUUUCUUGGC